rnacentral:rRNA from 1 species
AACAUACAGUCGAACGAACUUCGGGUUAGUGGCGGACGGGUGAGUAACGCGUGAGAAUCUGCCCUCAGGAGGGGGAUAACGGUUGGAAACGACCGCUAAUACCCCAUAUGCCUACUGGUGAAAUGAAUUUCGCCUGAGGAUGAGCUCGCGUCUGAUUAGCUUGUUGGUGAGGUAAUGGCUCACCAAGGCUUCGAUCAGUAGCUGGUCUGAGAGGAUGAUCAGCCACACUGGGACUGAGACACGGCCCAGACUCCUACGGGAGGCAGCAGUGGGGAAUUUUCCGCAAUGGGCGAAAGCCUGACGGAGCAACGCCGCGUGAGGGAUGAAGGCCUCUGGGCUGUAAACCUCUUUUAUCAAGGAAGAAGAUCUGACGGUACUUGAUGAAUAAGCCACGGCUAAUUCCGUGCCAGCAGCCGCGGUAAUACGGGAGUGGCAAGCGUUAUCCGGAAUUAUUGGGCGUAAAGCGUCCGCAGGCGGCCCUUCAAGUCUGCUGUUAAAAAGUGGAGCUUAACUCCAUCAUGGCAGUGGAAACUGUUGGGCUUGAGUGUGGUAGGGGCAGAGGGAAUACCCGGAGUAGCGGUGAAAUGCGUAGAUAUCGGGAAGAACACCAGUGGCGAAGGCGCUCUGCUGGGCCAUUACUGACGCUCAUGGACGAAAGCCAGAGGAGCGAAACGGAUUAGAUCCCCUGUAGUCCUGGCCGUAAACGAUGACACUACGUGUCGCGGGAACGACCACUCGGUGUAUUACAACGCGUCAGUGCCAGCAGGGGAGUCGCCGCAGUUGAACCAGGG